rnacentral:rRNA from 1 species
UACGUAGGUGGCGAGCGUUGUCCGGAUUUACUGGGCGUAAAGAGCGCGCAGGCGGUCGAAUAAGUCGAAUGUGAAAGCCCCCGGCUCAACUGGGGAGGGUCAUUCGAUACUGCUCGACUUGAAGGCAGGAGAGGGAAGUGGAAUUCCCGGUGUAGUGGUGAAAUGCGUAGAUAUCGGGAGGAACACCAGUGGCGAAGGCGACUUCCUGGCCUGUUCUUGACGCUGAGGCGCGAAAGCUGGGGGAGCAAACGGGG